rnacentral:rRNA from 1 species
CGGUGAUGAUGGCGAAAGGGUCACACCUGUUCCCAUCCCGAACACAGAAGUUAAGUCUUUCAGCGCCGAUGGUACUUGGGGGGCAACUCCCUGGGAGAGUAGGACAUCGCCGGGCU